UGUAGAUGCGGCUUGCCUGAGAUGCCUAUAUUUGCUGUUGCCUUUUACAGCGAAAUUAGGACAGAAGUGGUUUUUCGGUUCUUCAUUCUGGUGCGGCUCUGUGAACCUGCCUGCAAUGCUCAUGGCAAAUAUGAGAUCUGCAUUUAUUAUUUUUGCCAUGGUACUUCUCAAUAAAAAUGUUGCUGGCUACUGCCUACCGAUACACCGUCUGCACGAGACAUGGCUCCAGAAGCUCCAUUCGGAAAGCAAAGAGAAUCCGGACUAGGCAAUGCUACGGGCGGUAUCUUUUGUGAGCGGGCAAGACCUCGGCAGGCUUUUCGCCGUUAAUUUUUGCCUACGGUUGGAAUAUUAUAAUCUCCCUACAAAUAAAGGUCUUCCACUUUGAGAACAACACUGAAAUGUUCUGUACAAGCUGGUAAUAUACCCAUUUGUACACGGCUGAGUUUUUGCAAUACAAGCAGGUAGUAUACCGGCGUUCAACAACGGCUAAACCUGGCCGAACAGUUGUCGCAUUCAGCAACUAACUCAUCAUCAGUUGGUAAUGGGAGGAGAUGUGAAUAUGAG